AGCACCAGCUUGCUGGUGUGGAUGAGUGGCGAACGGGUGAGUAAUACGUGAGUAACCUGCCCUUGACUCUGGGAUAAGCCCGGGAAACUGGGUCUAAUACUGGAUGCUACAUGUCACCGCAUGGUGGUGUGUGGAAAGGGUUUACUGGUCUUGGAUGGGCUCACGGCCUAUCAGCUUGUUGGUGAGGUAAUGGCUCACCAAGGCGACGACGGGUAGCCGGCCUGAGAGGGUGACCGGCCACACUGGGACUGAGACACGGCCCAGACUCCUACGGGAGGCAGCAGUGGGGAAUAUUGCACAAUGGGCGAAAGCCUGAUGCAGCGACGCCGCGUGAGGGAUGACGGCCUUCGGGUUGUAAACCUCUUUCAGCAGGGAAGAAGCCACAAGUGACGGUACCUGCAGAAGAAGCGCCGGCUAACUACGUGCCAGCAGCCGCGGUAAUACGUAGGGCGCAAGCGUUGUCCGGAAUUAUUGGGCGUAAAGAGCUCGUAGGCGGUUUGUCGCGUCUGCUGUGAAAGCCCGGGGCUUAACCCCGGGUGUGCAGUGGGUACGGGCAGACUAGAGUGCAGUAGGGGAGACUGGAAUUCCUGGUGUAGCGGUGGAAUGCGCAGAUAUCAGGAGGAACACCGAUGGCGAAGGCAGGUCUCUGGGCUGUUACUGACGCUGAGGAGCGAAAGCAUGGGGAGCGAACAGGAUUAGAUACCCUGGUAGUCCAUGCCGUAAACGUUGGGCACUAGGUGUGGGGGACAUUCCACGUUUUCCGCGCCGUAGCUAACGCAUUAAGUGCCCCGCCUGGGGAGUACGGCCGCAAGGCUAAAACUCAAAGGAAUUGACGGGGGCCCGCACAAGCGGCGGAGCAUGCGGAUUAAUUCGAUGCAACGCGAAGAACCUUACCAAGGCUUGACAUAUACCGGGAUCGUUCCAGAGNAUGGUUCUUCCCCUUUGGGGUCGGUAUACAGGUGGUGCAUGGUUGUCGUCAGCUCGUGUC
rnacentral:rRNA from 1 species